GAGGCAGAUAAGAGCGCAUUUUACAUCGCCUCAGUCCGACCGAGCCUCCGUCACUGGUAUGUUUGGCAGUGGUAGGUGUGGAAAGAGAUAGGUGUGUUCCAAAAUAUGUGCAUACAAUUCGGGCCAUUUCUCCACUGGCAAACACGUUACUAUCGUGAUCCACGUUAUGUCAUUUGGCUUUUUUAUUAUUAUUAUUUUUUUUUAAUACUUGAAAUACGUUUAAAGCCCCAAUCGCACGUGCUUCCUCCUUUUUGGACGGGCGACACCUACCCUCAAAAUUCACCGAUCAAGUCUGACAAGUCUCAGUUUUGUCGUUGGAAGGAGUUGACUCGCAUUGCAGGCCUCACAUUUUCGAAUGGAAAGAAUGAAUCUGGUCAAAGUCAUUGCAGAGGGCGACCAAACUAAUGCUGAGGAUGAGGAAGAUGACGAGGCCGAUGAUGCCCACUUCGGCAGACGAAAAAGAAGACAUCAUAUCGACCAAUGC